GGGGGGAGCACCGGAUCUUGAGCUGUGUCCCCGGUGCCCUGGGCUCCCUGGCCUGCGCUGUUGGAAUCGCACUCCCUGCUGCGCCGCUCCCU
rnacentral:pre_miRNA from 1 species